AGCAGUGGGGAAUUUUGGACAAUGGGGGCAACCCUGAUCCAGCAAUGCCGCGUGUGUGAAGAAGGCCUUCGGGUUGUAGAAGCACUGUUUGUCCGGAAAGAAAUCGCACUUACUAAUAUUAGGUGUGGAUGACGGUACCGGAAGAACAAGGACCGGCUAACUACGUGCCAGCAGCCGCGGUAAUACGUAGGGUCCAAGCGUUAAUCGGAAUUACUGGGCGUAAAGCGUGCGCAGGCGGUUGUGCAAGACCUGAUGUGAAAUCCCCGGGCUUAACCUGGGAAUUGCAUUGGUGACUGCACGGCUAGAGUGUGUCAGAUGGGGGGUAGAAUUCCACGUGUAGCAGUGAAAUGCGUAGAGAUGUGGAGGAAUACCGAUGGCGAAGGCAGCCCCCUGGGAUAACACUGACUGCUCAUGCACGAAAGCGUGGGGAGCAAACAGGAUUAGAUACCCUGGUAGUCCACGCCCUAAACGAUGUCAACUAGUUG
rnacentral:rRNA from 1 species